UGGCUUUCAUUAGAGGUGACCAGUUGACAUAAGGUAAAAUCUACAUUGUGCAGCUCUUAUUGUGUGUGAGGGUUGGCCUCAUUAACCAGCGCUAACAAGCCGUGCAAAUGCUCUGAUUGGGCAGCUUUUAUUGGAUAGUACCAGGCCCUUAGCAGGAUACCCACUUAAUGAGGGUCACCACAAGAGAAUGAUAAAAUAUUCAACGGGGGACUUUUCAUAUGGAACGAUAAAGUUGCAGCGACUUGACCGUUUAAAACAUAAUC
rfam:Xenopus tropicalis clone ISB-32O23, complete sequence.